rnacentral:sRNA from 1 species
CCGGCUUGAGAGUUGCCAAGUUUCUAUGUUAUUUAAUUAGUUAUAAUUGGGAAUUUUAUCAAAUGGGAUAUUUCAAAGGUCUGAGUAAGGGUCACUCUGUAUUUACUUCAAAAAAUAAGUCUUCGUAAACUACACAUUUCAAUAGCAACUUUCAAUUUUUCAGAACAGUAGUGCAACCAAAAUUAAGAACAAAAACUCCAGAGCGAAAAAACAAUCUACUUACUGUGCCAAACCUUUGGAAGUUUUGCUCCCGAUUAUUGCUUCUGUCGUUGAGCUUUCAUCUGCUUUCGGUCUCUUCACUCUGUGGCUAUGAUUAUGAUGCAGUUGCUCCUUGCAGGAGAUGACGUCACUCUCGUCCUGCGAUAAGCACACACGCGCUUUGCUCGUGCAGGUGGAAUCAUCAUGCGAUAGCCUCUUGAUUUUCAACACAACUGGCUGUCGAGCCUCCUUGAAUUUUAAUCUUUGUUCGCAUAUCCAGAGCGGUGGAGUAU